rnacentral:rRNA from 1 species
UAGGGAAGUCUUCGGCAAUGGACGAAAGUCUGACCGAGCAACGCCGCGUGAGUGAAGAAGGUUUUCGGAUCGUAAAACUCUGUUGGUAGAGAAGAACGUUGGUGAGAGUGGAAAGCUCAUCAAGUGACGGUAACUACCCAGAAAGGGACGGCUAACUACGUGCCAG